rnacentral:rRNA from 1 species
AUUGAACGCUGGCGGCAUGCUUUACACAUGCAAGUCGAACGGCAGCGCGGGCUUCGGCCUGGCGGCGAGUGGCGAACGGGUGAGUAAUGCAUCGGAACGUGCCCAGUAGUGGGGGAUAGCCCGGCGAAAGCCGGAUUAAUACCGCAUACGACCUGAGGGUGAAAGCGGGGGACCGAAAGGCCUCGCGCUAUUGGAGCGGCCGAUGUCGGAUUAGCUAGUUGGUGGGGUAAAGGCUUACUAAGGCGACGAUCCGUAGCUGGUCUGAGAGGCCGACCAGCCACACUGGGACUGAGACACGGCCCAGACUCCUACGGGAGGCAGCAGUGGGGAAUUUUGGACAAUGGGGGCAACCCUGAUCCAGCCAUGCCGCGUGAGGGAAGAAGGCCUUCGGGUUGUAAACCGCUUUUGUUCGGGAAGAAAACCUCUGGGCUAAUACCCCGGGGGGAUGACGGUACCGGAAGAAUAAGCACCGGCUAACUACGUG